AUCUGGACCACUUCUUGAUUAGGCGGAUUUGAAAAUUGCAACCCCCUGGGACUUGGAGCAUCUCCAUAUAUUCAAGUGAUUGCAGAUUGAUCGUGGAGCCAUAGUUUUGAAACCCGGACCGGACCGUACGGUCCGACCGGAAAACCCUCAAACCGCUCAUUUUUACGGUUCUUUAAGCUUCAAGAACCGUUCUAUAGAAAAAAACAGGGAACCGUGCGAACCGCGGUCAGACCUCACGGUUCUGAGAACCGUGAACGGUUCUCGCGGUUCUCACGGUUCCUUUUUUUUUUUCAUCAAAUACCAGCUGAAAUGCACUUUGGACUUUUUUCAGAUCUGGAACCAGUGAGGGAAAAAAAAACAAACUGAGAAGAAUAAGAUUACAAAGUACGGACUAUGCAAAGUUGAAGCAGUAAGCUAGCAACCCAGCACAGAUCGUCAGUUACGGCCUUCAUCUUCGUCUUCAGCUUCUAUUUCUUCUUCUUUCUUCUUUUUCUCCUUCUUCUCUUUCUUCUUUCCGUCUCCACUUCUGUGGUUUCUGAGUUUCUCACACUUCUCUCUGUUUUACUUUUUGCUGCAAAGAGAGAAAAACUAAAGGAUCGGACUAAAGGAUAAAAGGAAAAAACUGAAGUGUAAAUUAGUGAGGUUAGGUGAGGUAGGUGUGAUAUUUAAUUGGGAGUGUAUUUAUUAAUUAAUAUUUUUAUUU